UACGGGGGGAGCAAGCGUUGUUCGGAUUUACUGGGCGUAAAGGGCGCGUAGGCGGUCACGACAAGUCAGUUGUGAAAUCUCCGGGCUUAACUCGGAACGGUCAACUGAUACUGUCGGACUAGAGUGCAGAAGGGGCAACUGGAAUUCUCGGUGUAGCGGUGAAAUGCGUAGAUAUCGAGAGGAACACCUGCGGCGAAGGCGGGUUGCUGGGCUGACACUGACGCUGAGGCGCGAAAGCUAGGGGAGCGAACGGG
rnacentral:rRNA from 1 species